AUGGCCAUCUUCGAUGAGUUCUACGUUGGGUCCAUCGACCUCGAGCGCCUCAACUAUGGGUUCAUUUCGCUCAUCCCUAAGGUGCCCGGGGCUUCCGACAUCUGCUAGUUUCGUCCAAUCACAGUCAUCAAUGUGAUUUUCCGGAUUCUGGCGAAAGGGUACGCCAAUAAGGUGACCCUUCUUGUUGACCACAUCACCCACCCCAACCAAUCCGCCUUCAUUCAAGGGAGGUAUAUCCUGGAUGGGGUGCUAGUUCUUCAUGAAGUCCUUCAUGAGGUUCGCUCUAAACACCUCAAGGCGGUGUUCCUGAAGAUCAAUUUCCAUAAGGCGUAUGACACUGUUAGUUGGUCCUUCCUUCGGAAAGUUUUG
rnacentral:rRNA from 1 species